UGUGUGUGUGUGUGUGUGUUCAUUUAUAGUGGUAAUGACCACUCUUUAUAAAGAUUAUAUCAGGGUUUGGGGAUUUAGCUCAGUGGUAGAGCGCUUGCCUAGCAAGCUCAAGGCCCUGGGUUCGGUCCCCAGCUCCGAAAAAAAGAAAAAAAAAUAAAGAUUAUAUCAAAUCACAGUAAGGAAUGCCAAGAAUCUGGAAUAUGCCAAUCGCUGGCACAGAUGGACACAGUCAGGUGCUGUGGAAAGCUGCUCAUGACGACUGAUCUUGUCACCCUGACUGGCUGGAAAGCAGCCUGCAUUCUAGAUUCUGGGUGAGAACCUCUCAAGAGAAUGAUGGUUUGUAUGAGAACAACUGAGGGUAAACGGUCAGCUUGAACGUGAAUGGUACUGCGCAACGGACCCAAAUGGAACCAAAGGGGAGAAGGAAGCAACACGUGCACACACCACGCUCGCUGCUACUGUGGCUACCAUCACCCAUGAACAUCUGACCGCUCUGGAUGUGAUCAAGCCUGUGACUCCUGGAAGCCUCCAGGUUCUAACCCUCAGAGAACUCAACUCACACCUUCCAUGAGAAGUUAAGCAAUCGAUUAUCCUGUGACCAGGCCACUGCGCUCCGAGGCACAUACCUGAAGGAUUAAGGACAGGUGUGCAAACCAGGACAUGAGUUUACAGCAGCUCCAUCAACAAAGCCAAAGGUCCACCAGUUGACUGGCAAACACAACGUGGCACGCCCACACAACAGAAUGUCACUCCGUUCUAGAAAGGAAUGAGACCCGACACCCAGCAUGAAGGCAGAUAGAAGAACCAGGAAGCACUGUGCCAAGCGCAGAGAGUCAGGCCCAAAGAUCACAUCCGUACAAAUCUGUUUAUUUUAGAUAUCUAGAUUAAGGGAUUCAAAGAAAUUAAAAGCAAGUUGUUUGCCAGGGGAGCGAGGGAUUGUGGGGGUGACUGCUUCGUGGGUAUCCGGUUUCCUAAAGGUGGGUGAGAAUGUUCUGGAACUGGAGAGUAGUGCUGGCUUCACAUCGGUCACACAUGCAGCAAAUGGCAUUAAAAAUGGGCCAGGUGAUUAAUCCUGCUUUGUGUAUCUUACCACAAUAAAAAGAAGAAUUGACGUAA